ensembl:lncRNA
CCGGAAGGCUUUGUUACAGACCGCAUUCAGCCUGCAUUCAGAUGGCAUGUCAAGAACUGUAUUACUCUUGUCCCCUCGUCCAACUCUUAGACUCCCAUAAUUAACCCAGAGGAAGUUGUAAGUGAAAUAAUUAUGAGGUCCUUUCAAAGCUAGACACUUGACACAUGUGUUAUAGAAACCUUAUAAAAAGGAAACUGGAUUCUUGUAAAUUUUAAGAUUAUAUUAAUUCAGACACAAAGACACUCCUAUGAAUUUUCACAAAAAUACUCAAAUCACAGAGUUUGUUCUGCCUGCCAUUGAGAUGUGGGGGAUUUUGCUGUGUGCACUAAAUUCUCUUCUUCUUCUAUUUAUUUACUUAUUUAUUUCCUUCUUCUCCCCAAAGCCCCCCAGUACGUAGUUGUAUGUUUUAGUUGUGAGUCCUUGUUGUGGCAUGUGGGAUGCCACCUCAGCAUGGCUUGAUGAGCAGGGCUAUGUUCGCACCCAGGAUCUGAACCGGUGAAGCCCUGGGCUGCCAAAGCAGAGCACAUGAACUUAACCACUUGGCCACAGGGCAACCCCUACAUUCUCUUCUUUAACUGCCCAUGUCACGAGAGCACAAGACUAGAGUGAAGACAAGCACGGGAGACCAAGGAUGAGAGUUUAUUGAACAUGAUGGUCUCAUCCACAUUCGAAAGCACAAUCCAGGUGAGACCUCAAUCAUGUAUCUAGACGGGUGAGAACUUGCUUCCAGUGUCCCUGAAUCCCAAAUGGAAGGAUGCUUUUCCUGUAUGUGGGAGCCGAACGCCAGGGCUGGGAAGGGCUGCCAAAAUCAUUCAGCCCAGUCUUACAUCCGCAGUCUGUUUUUCACCACUCCUUCACUCGUUUAUUAAUUUAACAAAUAUUAUUGGCACCUGCUGUAUACACAGCACUCUUCUAGGGACUUGGGAUCUGGUUGUGAACAAAACAGACACCAGUUCCUCCUGUCGUUGACGUUAUGUUCUAAAGAAAGGAUUUGAGUAGUAAACAAUAAGAAUAAGCAGUAAACGUAGUGAGUAAGUAAUUUACAUAGUACCAUAGGUUGGAAGGUGAAAACAGUGCAACAGAGAAAUAGGAGGGCAGGGAAAGAAAUCAGAGCGAUGGUGAGGGGGCAAGGUGCAGCUUAAAUAAGGUGGUUGAGUAGCUUCUUGUGAAGAUGAUGUUUGAAAGCAGAUUUGAAAGAGGUGAGGCAGUUAGCCACGGGGAUCUCUGGGAGGAAAGCCUGGUUGGUGGUUUUAUUUCCCUCCAAGACAGUCCCGAGUACUCUAAAGUGGGAUGUUUAGCAAAGUGCUCCACUGGGUUCAGAAGCUGGGCUUUGCUCAGGUCCCACUCAUGAGUCAUGUGUCCUAAUCAGUUUGUUCUAGAGUACUCUAAAUAGCCCACCACCCUCACAAGUCCCCUGCCCCCAGAGCCCCUGCUUCAGCUCUCCCUGCUGUAGGAUAAUGGAUGUCGUGGAAUUGUCUGCUUAGGUGUCCAGCUUCUGCAGGAGGAAGUACAGAAGCUCCGAGAUUAGGCCACACAGGGUCGAAACCUGCUCCUGCCGCUGACUGGCUGUCUGUCCUUCAUCAGGUCAUUUAACCUCUUUGACCAGUGCCUGGCAUAGAGCCUGGCCCGUGUAAGGAUGGUCGUGAGCAAUGGAGUGCAGUUUGUCCAGGAACACCCAGGAGAACACACCCGAAGCCUCACUGGAGGACUCAGCCUCCUCGUCUGGUUGGUAAAUAGCCAUCCAUCCAUCCGUUCACCAGGAUGACGAGUUUAUACACACACACCAGAAUCAGGUUUUUCCUUUUCUUUUCUUUUCUUUUCUUUCUUUCUUUUUUUUUUUUUGUGAGGACGACUAGCUCUGAGCUAACGUCUGUUGCCAGUCUUCCUCUAUUUUGCUUGAGGAAGACUGUCGCUGAGCUAACAUCUGUGGCAGUCUUCCUCCAUUUGUUGUAUGUGGGACACUGCCACAGUAUGGCUUGGUGAGCAAUGUGGAGGUCCACUCCUGGGAUCUGAACCUGUGAACCCCAGGCUGCUGAAGGAGAGUGCACAAACUUAACCACUACGCCACUAGGCUGGCCCCCAGAGUCAGAUUUUAUUCCUCUUUUUUCCCUGAAUUGACUGUCUUGGGAAGAGAAGAGUAGCCAGGUGAGGGGACGUGUGUGGGGAAGUUUUCUUCCCUACAAGAAAGACUCUAAUAAAUGAGACUGUUUCUUAUCCAAGUUAUAGUAUUUCUUGGCACUUUUUUCUUUCAAAAUGUGUUUUUUGUCUAAAAUUGAAGCAUAAUAAUAAUAA